rnacentral:rRNA from 1 species
UCAUGGCUCAGGAUGAGCGCUGGCGGCGUGCCUAAUACAUGCAAGUCGAGCGAACGGACGAGAAGCUUGCUUCUCUGAUGUUAGCGGCGGACGGGUGAGUAACACGUGGAUAACCUACCUAUAAGACUGGGAUAACUUCGGGAAACCGGAGCUAAUACCGGAUAAUAUUUUGAACCGCAUGGUUCAAAAGUGAAAGGCGGUCUUGCUGUCACUUAUAGAUGGAUCCGCGCUGCAUUAGCUAGUUGGUAAGGUAACGGCUUACCAAGGCAACGAUGCAUAGCCGACCUGAGAGGGUGAUCGGCCACACUGGAACUGAGACACGGUCCAGACUCCUACGGGAGGCAGCAGUAGGGAAUCUUCCGCAAUGGGCGAAAGCCUGACGGAGCAACGCCGCGUGAGUGAUGAAGGUCUUCGGAUCGUAAAACUCUGUUAUUAGGGAAGAACAUAUGUGUAAGUAACUGUGCACAUCUUGACGGUACCUAAUCAGAAAGCCACGGCUAACUACGUGCCAGCAGCCGCGGUAAUACGUAGGUGGCAAGCGUUAUCCGGAAUUAUUGGGCGUAAAGCGCGCGUAGGCGGUUUUUUAAGUCUGAUGUGAAAGCCCACGGCUCAACCGUGGAGGGUCAUUGGAAACUGGAAAACUUGAGUGCAGAAGAGGAAAGUGGAAUUCCAUGUGUAGCGGUGAAAUGCGCAGAGAUAUGGAGGAACACCAGUGGCGAAGGCGACUUUCUGGUCUGUAACUGACGCUGAUGUGCGAAAGCGU